GGUUUCUGUUUUCCUGGCUAAAUCCUAAGCUAAUACCUUCCUGGUCUAGGGCAGUUCCCGUAAAGAGAACCUCCAGAUGGCCAUAUCGAAAAAGACUUAUGUGAACGCCGCUGGCUUCCUCCCUUACCCUGUCCCCCAGGCUUCUCGGCCUUUACUUUAUAUGCAGAUAAACUGAGGAUCUUGUUAAAUAGAUGAGAGGCCGGGCUCGAGAAGUGGUGUUCCAACAUUCUCCCACCUGGUGCCAAUACUGAGUAGCCAGGCACAGAGGCUUCUAGAACUGUGUGCCCUGUAAGAGCUCAGCGCAGUCGUUCUCUACAGCACCGCCGCGAGGGGGUAUAACACCGGGUGAAACUGAGUCUCUCAGAAGCCACGUAACCCCGGUUUGAAUACACUGUCCUGACUUACUAUUGAGUGGGAGGUGGAAGGUGGAAGCCAGCCAGCCACCCGGUAGCGGUCUGAUUGCAUUCUUGUAGCUGCAACCAUCUGACUCCUGUAUUAGGACACCUAGAUGGGUCGUGCCUGGGUAUUUACUUAUUUGAAUGAAUUUUAUUUUUUGUAAGUUACUUAUUUUGUUCCCUUUACUACACAGUACACAGGAGAUUUCACCUCUGAAUUUCAUUUUCCUGGGUAGUAAAGGGGAUGUUACAGAAUAACUGUUUUACAAAGAGACCUUGGGGCAGAAGAAGGUCAUGCAGCGCUGGGUUAGAGGGGCAAGAGGACGAUGGGCACCUCCUGGAAAUCCUCGACCGGAAGUGGAAGUAGGCACUGGCGCCCUCAACAGCAGGUGGAGCCUGCCUCCCGCUACAGAAGCUAAACAGGCACUCCCUCUCGGGGGCUCCCCUGCGGCUGGGUGUGGAUCCAUGUCCUAGACACAUAUGGAACAGGUGCACCUGUCCCGGACUUCGAAUGAAGAUACGAUUGCUUCUCCCUGAGUAAGGAGGAGAGCCGUUACUGAGGAGGUGAUGUUUAAGCUACGUCUUGAGGGAUAAGUAGAAUUUCAGCAGGUUGGGAGGUUGGAGGAAUGAGCAGCAGACGGAUCAGAGGGUUGGAUGGGUGCGCGGGCGGUCCGGGUAUGGCAGAGGCAUAAAUGUGGAGAUACUUUAAAACAGGUAAAAUGCCAUUAACUUUACUCAUGGGUGUUGGAGUCAAGGGCAUUGAUAAGGAGUCAGAGGACCGAGGCUCAAAUAUGGAUCCUGGCUGGUGUGACCUUGGGCCAGUCCCCAGCCCUCUGGGCUCACUUUCCUUACUUGGAGAAAGGUAGUCCUACCACUACUGGUGUGCCCUCCUCACAUAGUUUUUGUCGGUCACAGGAAGAUGAAUGUAAACUGCUUUACAUGGAAAAGGCUGAACAAAAAAUAAUUAUUAGAAAUAAUGUGUGUAGGGGGUGGGAUACACAAAAUAGUGAGAGAGCUCAAGUCCAGGCUGAGAGAGGUUAGAAGAAAGUCAUGUCUGAGGCGGAAUUUGGUCAAAGACGAGCUCUUCCUCAAGUGUAGGGCUGGGGAGGUGGGGACGGGGUGGGGUGAGCAGACAGCAGUCGCCAGGCAGCUUCCACAGCUGGAGAGCUGGCCGGCAUCAGCGGGAGCACAGAUACUCAGCUCGAUACUCCUCUUCUGGGGACAAGGCUCCUCCGGUGUCUCCCUGAGGUUCUGGUCUGAAUAUGUCAGCUGCUUUGGGGGUGCUCCCAGUCUUCAGCCACCCUUGCUACAAAUGCCUUGUGUUGUUUACUUUCUCUAGUUAGACCAGUGUCUUCUGUCACAUUUUGAUUCUUAAUUUUCACCCCCAGAAAGGAACUCUAAGCUUGGCCCACGCCCCCAUGUUCCCUCAGGAAGAGCGUGAGGUACAGGGGUGGAGAGCCUGUCAGGCGUCUCCUCCGCACUGCCCAUGUAAAUAUCAUGCUUGCCGUCCUCAGAGCGCUCAAGGUCAAGCCUCCACCCUCCUAGUUCCCUGGGCUGCAAAUCAGAAGUAGAUCGACACCACCUUCCUGUUUACAUCCCAGGUGAUCGUGAAAUCUUUUUUUUUUUUUUUUCAGAUUUUAUUUAUUUAUUGACAGAGAUCACAAGUAGGCAGAAAGGCAGGCAGACAGAGGAGGAAGCAGGCUCCCCACUGAGCAGAGAGCCUGAUGUGGGGCUCGAUCCCAGGACCCUGAGAUCAUGACCUGAGCUGAGGGCAGGGGCUUUAACCCACUGAGCCACCCAGGUGCCCCAAUCAUGAAAUCUUGAAGAUACUGUAGGAGGUCUUUGGGAAUUCACAAAUUAAGUAGUCAAGGGUGUGAGGAUUUGGGAGCAACUCCAAAGUCCAUGGGCCUCCAGCCAUUUGGAAUGGGGAUCACGGCUCACCUAAGUAGGUGGCGGUGUCAGGAGUUUCCUAAAAGUUCUACAAAGCCCCAGCAGGAGUCGAAAGGGCAGCAUUUAGCACGUGACAGCAGAUAGUCUAGUGAGUGAUUCUUUUAAAACCAGAGAAUCCAGAAACUCUGCCAAAGCACCCCUUCUAUGACAAGGAUCCACUCCCCCUGCUCCAAAACAUCUGUGGGGGCCCCUCCCCCCCCCAUUCAGGGGCCCAUCUCCACCUGCAUCCUGCAGCACCUCCUCGGGCUUCCUCCUCCCCUCCUCCCCCGGCUGCCCCCAUGCUGAUUGAGGAUCCAGGACACACCCUCCCCCGCCCCCCAGCCCACCCCGAGAGCCCCUCUGCUGGACCCACCAGCCCUCCGGCCCAGCCUACAGCCCUUUCUCCAGCUGGCGCUUCCACCCAACCUUUUCCUCCCGGAGCCGCCCUCCUGCUCCAGCCACAGUCAUCCGUGCGGUGACCACGAUUGAAGACCUGGCUCACAUCACAUGCUCUGUCAACUGGGUCAGUGUCACCAGCAUCCUGUGUGUGGUCACGUCCUUACUCGUACUUACAUUCCAAACCACAGGUGGUCAGCUGAGAGACAAGACCAGAAGACGCUGACGGUUCCUCUGGGACAUUAACUGUACAGUGGGAAUGAAGAGGCAGGACAGAGGACUGGUGCCCCAGGGGCCCUGGGCUGGAAAGCCAUGCACUGGUCCCUCGAGGGCCUGGAGAGCUAGGACAGGCCAGGAGCCCAGAGUUCCUGGGCCCCCUGCCUGCCUGCCAAAUACACAGCCUCAGGGGAUUCAACUUCAUAGGUCGGAGUGUCACACCCUGUGGUUGGAAAAAGUUGGUUGGAGGCAAAUGGGUUCUCUCCAGAGCUGGGGUAGAUUCCAGCCCUUCUGCCCUGAGGAAAAUGGAGGAAGUGAGGUCAAGGUCCUGUCCUUGAUCUGGUCCACGGCUGGCCUCUGCAGGACCCAGGCCUGGCCGCGGGCUGGAGGGGAGGGGUGGAAGAGGCAGGAGCUGCGCAAGAGGAGCUCUGCCGUAGGAGGAGGAGGAGCAGCUGGAGGAGAGCCCCAGGGAGGAGACCAAGCUCCAGACGUCUUCCUGCCAACGAACCCAGGAUUUUUGCUUUUAUUCAGGCCAACAGAUUGGGAGAUGAUUGGCAUGGCCAAAGUACUUUGCUCUCUUUCUUGACUCUGUCUUCAAGGUAGCGGCUUCCGUGGCUGUGGUUCGGGUCUUUGUCCUCACUCUGGAGGUGACUGGCGAGGAGACGGCCUCACUGGAGGGCAUCACUUCCGAAGAUCCAGUCGUGCUCUUGGCAGGCGCGCCUGGAGGGGCUGAGGCUACCUUGGGUCAGCGUGGAGCGGAGGCUCUGGCCGGCCUGGAAGGAGCCGGCCACAUGCUUGGAGGAAUGUCCGUGGAUCCCUGGUGCAGGCUGGCCGAGUCAGAGGGCGGACUCCCAGGGUGGCCAAACAGGAAAAAAAGAAGACCACAGGCUGAGCCAAGCAGUGGAUGCAGGGCAACCAGCGCUCGGUCACGGUCAUGCCCGCCUUUGGCAAGAAGACGGGCCCCAGUGCCAACUCUUAAAUCCACUGUAAUCCCGCUCUUCCCGACGAAACCACUACAUCCAGUCAACAACAACAACAGCACAACUUUGUCACGGUUCCCAAGAGCAGGGGCACACUGCCACUCAGGCCUCAUCGUCGGGAGUGAGGGGAAAGCACGGGCCAGAGCCUUUAUUGGGGUUUUGCUGGAAGGAAUAGACGAGGCAGGGUAGGCGCACUGGGCAGGCUGAGGAGGGGAUAGUGGGGGGUAGUUUCAGUGGACUCUGGCUCCAGGGGCAUCCCGAGUGGUCUGGUGUCUGGCCCUGGGGGGAUUUAGGUUAGGAGAAGAGUUCCUGGCUAUAGUAGGGACCUGAUAAAAGGAGGUGAAUGUGCGCCAGAGGGGCGAGGGGCGGAUUGGUUGGUUUGUGUAUCAAAUGUAGGCUCACCUGCAAGUUGUCUGCUCUUUCUAGAAAGCAGCUAACCAUGGGAGGGGCAGUCCCUCUCUGGGCCUGAAAGGCCCCCCCCACCCCUACCCCAGACUUUAAAACAUCACAAAAUACAGAGAAUAGAAAGCAGAAUGUCAGAAUGUGCCAGAGCAUCAGGGAGUCUUGGAGAGGCUGUAACCUCCCCACGAACCCCACCCAGUGAGGUAGAGCAUGAGAGACAAAAGCAUCACAAGAGAGCAGGAGGCUAAGCUCCCUCAGACACUGGGCUGGUGUGGUGCAAACACGUUCUCACUCUCACCCAGACUGUGCGGCUUUGGAGUGAGACCUGGCUGAGUGCCACUGUGUGACCAGGGAUAAGUUACUUCACCCUUCUGCGCCCAAGUGGAUGGUAGGGAGAAUUAAAGGAAUUUGAGGACAGAAGCUUCUCUACUCGAGCUCCUUGCUCUGCCAGUUGCAGAACGCCUCAGAGAGCUCUCUGGAACUAACUAAAAGAAGGCUGAUUUCCUGACUCCACCUAGACCUUCAUGUGACCUGGGCCAUCCCCAGUGAACUGCGGAGACACACCAAGACCAAGAGGAAAUUGAAGAGCUGUUUGUUCACGCCUGCCACACAACUGUAAUCAUCUCCACUUUCCCAGUCCGACCCUCUAGUGACGGGGUAGUGCUGACCGGGCAGGCAUUCCCUGCGACCCAGAGCCAAGGUCUGUGCAUUGAUUCUCUUUCAAAGGUGAGUGUUUGAAAUAUGUAAGCUCUCUUGAGUUCAAGGACAUAACACCUGCUUCUUCAGAACUCUCUGCAGAGUCCUUUUGAUUAAUUGAUUUGACUUAAAGUUUUCCAUUCAGAUGUACAGAAUGAAGUCUGGGCUGAGAAUUUAAAGUAGUUCGUUUCAGAGGACUUGUGUGUGGGAACCGACUGGAAGGUAGGAAGAAGCCAGCCCCACAGUGUGAAGAGUGGGCUGCGUCAAGGCCACAUUCUUUACAAAGUCAGAUCGCUAGAACUCCGGAGCCGGUUCGUGCAUCUGCCACGGGCUGGGCACUGGGCUGGGCACCGGGUGGCAUGAGCGGUGUGUGCUUUCUCACUUCAUCCUCACAAUAUAUGUUCUCUUCUCAGCUUUCAUUUUACAAAGGAGAAAACAGAGCCACGAGUAUUAAGGCAACUUGACCCAAAGUCACACACCUAACUACCCAGUGGAGCUGGGAUUUGAUCAGCAGCAUCUUGCUCCACAACCCAAGCACUUGACCUCCAAGCUAAGUAAACCUACCUUUCACAAAGACAUCCUCCACCCAGGGCCAGUGGGAUUGGGCUUUGUACAUCUGUGCAAACUGGAGAGGGAGACGGCAGCACCGGGACCGUGUUUUAACAGAUGACGGCCCGAGUUCUGUCCCUGUGCAUUAGUGUACUGCUGUGCCUUCACCAGCAAAAGGGAGCUGGGCUCAAGUGCAGGGGUGAGAAGUCAUUGCCAGCGGCUCCGUCCAUCAGUUCCUGGUCCUCCGGAAAACAGCGUGGUCCAUAAAGAAUUUUAGUUUUUGACCCCAUAAUCCCAGUGAUGGGAAUUUAUUCUAAGAAAAUAAUAGAAAACAAAUCUAUACACAAAAAGGCAUUCACCCAGCAUUACACAUCACUGCAAAAAUUGGCAGCCAUAUAAACCUCCCAGUGCUACGGAUCGUCAGGUAGACUAUGAUACAUCCAUUGAAUAGAACACCACACAGCUAUAAACAGACAGCUGUGAAGACAACGAAACCGACGUUAAAAAGAUUAGAACUUCACAUUCAGUUCAGCAUCUGAAAAUUACCCUUCGCUAAGACUAUGACAGUGCUUUUUAAAAAAAAAAAA